UUUCUUGAUGGAGGGGAGCGGCAGACGGGUGAGUAACGCGUGGGAAUCUACCUAGCUCUACGGAAUAACCCAGGGAAACUUGGACUAAUACCGUAUACGUCCGAGAGGAGAAAGAUUUAUCGGAGUUAGAUGAGCCCGCGUUGGAUUAGCUAGUUGGUGGGGUAAAGGCCUACCAAGGCGACGAUCCAUAGCUGGUCUGAGAGGAUGAUCAGCCACACUGGGACUGAGACACGGCCCAGACUCCUACGGGAGGCAGCAGUGGGGAAUAUUGGACAAUGGGCGCAAGCCUGAUCCAGCCAUGCCGCGUGAGUGAUGACGGCCUUAGGGUUGUAAAGCUCUUUCAACGGUGAAGAUAAUGACGGUAACCGUAGAAGAAGCCCCG
rnacentral:rRNA from 1 species